rnacentral:rRNA from 1 species
GACGGAGGAUGCAAGUGUUAUCCGGAAUCACUGGGCGUAAAGCGUCUGUAGGUGGUUUAUUAAGUCAACUGUUAAAUCUUGAAGCUCAACUUCAAAAUCGCAGUCGAAACUAGUAGACUAGAGUAUAGUAGGGGUAAAGGGAAUUUCCAGUGGAGCGGUGAAAUGCGUAGAGAUUGGAAAGAACACCGAUGGCGAAGGCACUUUACUGGGCUAUUACUGACACUCAGAGACGAAAGCUAGGGUAGCAAAUGGG